CUCAAAUGUUAUCGGCAAGAAAUUUUACGUUCUAACGCAUGCUUGUGAGGGGGAAAAUAAGCAAAAGUCGAACUUCUUAUUUUUGUUGAACUUAAUUUCUAUGUUUUUGUUGGUUAUUUUACUGUUAUUCCUAGAAUUUGCAAUUCACCAAGCAAAAAGUCACAAUAUCAAGCUAAAGACAUACAGGUUUUAGAAAACAUUCAGCAAAAAACUACAAACAUAAUUUUUUUGAUAUUAAAACUGGUAUACAAAGAUAGACUCAAAGCACUAGGAUAUACCUCUCUGACUGAAAAAGUAUUCAUAGUGAUAUGACACAACAUUUUAAAAUAGUAGGUUGGAGUGAUGUCAUUAACUGGCAUCACCCACCAAAGUAGCUUCCCUCUUUUCUUUGUGAUGGAUCUGCUGGCAGUACUCGUGUUCAUGCUAUUUGAAUAAGUGUCAACUGGCAAAGCAUUGCAAACAGGCAAAAUUUCUUCACCAAUCGUUUAGUUGAACAUUGGAACUUUUUGCCAGAGCAAAUCAUUGAUGCUCCUGGAUUGAGAAAUUUUAGAAAGCAAUCAUAUUGUGAGGAGAAACAUUACAGGCUGAGUACUGUUAUUCAAAAUGUGUCAACAUGAGCAUUAUGGUUUCCGUUGGUAGCCUUUGCUUGUCUUGGAUUUUGAAAAUAACACUUAAUUUUUUAUUAAUAUACAUUGUAUAUAACCAACUUUAAGUUCUGCACAGGAAUGCUGAUACCAUUCCUUCCACAAACCUUUUUUGUAAAAUAACUUGUUCAGAAAAUAUCUAAUAAUAAAUUCUUCGCAUUUUA